GAUGAACGCUGGCGGCGUGCCUAAUACAUGCAAGUCGAGCGAACGGACGAUAAGCGUUCUUCCCUGAUGUUAGCGGCGGACGGGUGAGUAACACGUGGAUAACCUACCUAUAAUACUGGGAUAACUACGGGAAACCGGUUCUGAUACCGCAUAAUAUUUUCAACCGCAUGGUUCAAAAGUGAAAGACGGUCUUGCUGUCACUUAUAGAUGGAUCCGCGCUGCAUUAGCUAGUUGGUAAGGUAACGGCUUACCAAGGCAACGAUGCAUAGCCGACCUGAGAGGAUGAUCGGCCACACUGGAACUGAGACACGGUCCAGACUCCUACGGGAGGCAGCAGUAGGGAAUCUUGCGCAAUGGGCGAAAGCCUGACGGAGCAACGCCGCGUGAGUGAUGAAGGUCUUCGGAUCGUAAAACUCUGUUAUUAGGGAAGAACAUAUGUGUAAGUAAAUGUGCACAUCUUGACGGUACCUAAUCAGAAAGCCCCGGCUAACUACGUG
rnacentral:rRNA from 1 species